UACGGAGGAUUCAAGCGUUAUCCGGAUUUAUUGGGUUUAAAGGGUGCGUAGGCGGUCUGAUAAGUUAGAGGUGAAAUCCCGGGGCUUAACUCCGGAAUUGCCUCUGAUACUGUUGGGCUAGAGAGUAGUUGCGGUAGGCGGAAUGUAUGGUGUAGCGGUGAAAUGCUUAGAGAUCAUACAGAACACCGAUUGCGAAGGCAGCUUACCAAACUAUAUCUGACGUUGAGGCACGAAAGCAUGGGGAGCAAACAGG
rnacentral:rRNA from 1 species